UGCUCGAGUGGCGAACGGGUGAGUAACACGUGAGUAACCUGCCCUUGACUUUGGGAUAACUUCAGGAAACUGGGGCUAAUACCGGAUAGGAGCUCCUGCUGCAUGGUGGGGGUUGGAAAGUUUCGGCGGUUGGGGAUGGACUCGCGGCUUAUCAGCUUGUCGGUGGGGUAGUGGCUUACCAAGGCUUUGACGGGUAGCCGGCCUGAGAGGGUGACCGGCCACAUUGGGACUGAGAUACGGCCCAG
rnacentral:rRNA from 1 species